AACUUUAUAGUCAAAAUAAUGAUUUUAAAUUGCAAAUUUAAAGGUAAUAUCAAUUUUAAAGUUU
rnacentral:tRNA from 1 species